UUUUAAUCAACGUUUCCGUAUAUAUAAGAGCAUUUUCUUUCAGUUGCAUAUCAAUUCAAAUUUAGAUUUUUUAACAAUCUUCAAUAUGAAAAUAUUUGCUGUGACAUUUGUGGCGCUUGUAUUAGUUGCUUCAGUGCACUCAACUUGUAAUGACCCGUGUGAUCCUUUGGCCAAACUUCUUGCAUUUAAACAAAAAUUGAAAGCGCUAUAUUGUAGUGGAUGUGGUGCACUUCCCGCCCCGGUAGCCCCACCAGCUCCAGUAGCCCCACCAGCCCCAGUAGCCCCGGUAGCCCCGGUAACUCCUACAUGUGCUUAUCCAGCUUGUGUACCUAUUGCAUACGUACCGCAAACAUGUUGCCAAUGUUAAUUUGUUUAGUAACAAUCAAUAAAAUAAUUAAUCGUU